GAUGAACGCUGGCGGCGUGCUUAACACAUGCAAGUCGAACGGAAAGGCCCUAGUUUGUUUGGGUACUCGAGUGGCGAACGGGUGAGUAACACGUGGGUGAUCUGCCCUGCACUUCGGGAUAAGCCUGGGAAACUGGGUCUAAUACCGGAUAGGACCCCUUCUUGGAUGUUGUGGUGGAGAGUUUUUUCGGGGUGGGCUGAGCGCGCGGCCUGUCAGUUCGUUGGUGGGGGAAUGUCCUACCAAGGCGUCGCCGGGUGGCCGGCCUGAGAGGGUGUACGGCCACAUUGGGACUGAGAUACGGGGCAGACUCCUACAGGAGGCAGCAGUGGGGGAUAUUGCGCAAUAGGCGCGAGCCUGAUGCGGAGAAGCCGCGUGGGGGGUGACGGCCUUCGGGUUGUAAACUCCUUUCGCUAGGGACGAAGAGUUUUUGUGACGGUACCUGGAGAAGAAGCACCGGCUAACUACGUG
rnacentral:rRNA from 1 species